GGGAUCUUCGGACCUUGCGCUAUUGGAUGAGCCUAAGUCGGAUUAGCUAGUUGGUGGGGUAAAGGCCUACCAAGGCGACGAUCCGUAGCUGGUCUGAGAGGAUGAUCAGCCACAUCGGGACUGAGACACGGCCCGAACUCCUACGGGAGGCAGCAGUGGGGAAUAUUGGACAAUGGGGGCAACCCUGAUCCAGCCAUGCCGCGUGUGUGAAGAAGGCUUUCGGGUUGUAAAGCACUUUCAGUAGGGAGGAAAACCUUAUGGUUAAUACCCAUGAGGCUUGACGUUACCUACAGAAGAAGCACCGGCUAACUCCGUGCCAGCAGCCGCGGUAAUACGGAGGGUGCAAGCGUUAAUCGGAAUUACUGGGCGUAAAGCGCGCGUAGGUGGUUUGGUAAACGAGAUGUGAAAGCCCCG
rnacentral:rRNA from 1 species